rnacentral:rRNA from 1 species
CAGUAGCCGCGGGAAUACGGAGGGGGCUAGCGUUGUUCGGAAUUACUGGGCGUAAAGCGUACGUAGGCGGUUUUGUAAGUUAGAGGUGAAAGCCCGGAGCUCAACUCCGGAAUUGCCUUUAAGACUGCAUCACUUGAACGUCGGAGAGGUGAGUGGAAUUCCGGGUGUAGCGGUGAAAUGCGUAGAUAUCGGAAGGAACACCUGUGGCGAAAGCGGCUCACUGGACCAUUUCUGACGCUGAUGCACGAAAGCCAGGGGAGCAAACAGGAUUAGAUACCCCGGUAGUCCCUGUCUCUUAUAC